ensembl:lncRNA
GUUAGGUCUAAUUUCUGGAGGGUUGGACUUUGAGAACUGGCUGAUAAGAUUGGCCAUUUGUCCUUAGGCAAUGGAGAGCAAGGAAAGAUUUAUGGAGCAGAAAGUUAUAUGAUCCACAUGUGCUUUGGAAGAAGUUUGCCUGUAUUGGAAAGGAUAGAGUCUUGUGGAAAGGAGUUUAGGUAGAAGAUUUUGGUUACAGAAUCACGAAGAUCCGACAACUGAUUAAAUGUGGAUGGGGGACAAGGCGGGGAAGAUGAAGUCAAAGAGGCAUCUGAAGGCAACUUCAUGUACUGCUUGUGAUGCAUGACUCCCGACACACAGACCGAGUGAAGGAGCCAACAUCGAUUCAUGUGCUUGAACUUCUUAGGAUGGAGACCCUGGGUCCUUCACUCGGCAUUCCACCCUCAGACCGGCCUGCGUGUCAAUAUCUUUCUGCAACCGGGUUGUCUGGACCAAGGAGAACUUUGCGAAGAUCUCCAGGAGCUUAAUUGCUGUGUCACUCUGUUCCCCUUUUCUGUCUGUUAUAUUUAGGCAGCCUUCAAUCCACCAAUAAUCCUAGUUGCAUGAUUUUAUAUCAAACCAUUUUUCAAGUUAUUCUCAUUUUUUCCCUGUAAAUCUAAGCAUUACUGUGUAAUGAGUAUUAUCUUUGUUAGCAGGUGAGAGACUUCCCUCUACUGGGCAGAUACACAACUGCUGCCCACGCUUAGAAUGAAGAAUACUAGUUUUUACACUGUAUAUUAAAAAAGAAAAUAAAUUACACAUGUGGUUAAAAAAAAAAGGACUUUCCCAUACAGUUGAUCUUGCCCUAGGAUAAAUUGCCACCAAGUCUUGUCCCUUCUCUUCUUUCCUUUAUCCUUUGCCCAA